UACGGAGGGGGCUAGCGUUGUUCGGAAUUACUGGGCGUAAAGCGCACGUAGGCGGCUUUGUAAGUUAGAGGUGAAAGCCCAGGGCUUAACCCUGGAAUUGCCUUUAAGACUGCAUCGCUAGAAUCGUGGAGAGGUGAGUGGAAUUCCGAGUGUAGAGGUGAAAUUCGUAGAUAUUCGGAAGCACACCAGUGGCGAAGGCGACUUACUGGACACAUAUUGACGCUGAGGUGCGAAAGCGUGGGGAGCAAACAGG
rnacentral:rRNA from 1 species